AACUUGUACUCUUUGUUGAUCUUACUUCAUUCAUGUUUGUUCAACGUACGAACUGUAUAUGUGCAAAUAUCUUUGAUCGAACUAAAUAUCGACAUUUUUUUUAUCGCGUUAGUCAAGUGAUCUGAUUGCGAGUGUGCGUGCAUGUUCCACGUAUUCCACGCCGGAUUAAUGAAGAAACACAUGCUACGCUAAAAAUAAAAUAUCGCUGAAAAUAAAUCUGCCGAUCUAUCAAGAUUUCGUAUUUACUAUGCUUUUUGCACCCGUUGAAAUAUUAUCGAGCACGGCUGACUCGAGGAUUGGUUCACAGUUCAGAUAAAAGUGAUAUCUGAGAACGCAAUACAAAACAAGCAAGAGAACAACCAUGAACAACAAAAACAAUGCCUUUAUCGUAAUAUGUUAUUGUUAAAGAAUUAAAUGGAGGCACACUCGAAACCAGAGAGUUAUCUGUCUGUUUUGUUGUUAACCACUCGAUUAUUUGUCGCAAUUACUAUUAAAAGAACAUUAUCAUAUAUGUUUCGCA